GUGUGCCACUCACACUCUAGUCCCUGCGCGCCGUUCACACCCACCAGACGAGUGCUCGCUACUUGUUGUCAGCC
rnacentral:sRNA from 1 species